UGAGUACGAGCGGCUACGGCCGCGAAGUGGAUGAUGUCAAGCUUCCAAGAAAAGCCCUAUACCCGUUAAGGCAUGAUGGCCUGUACCCGAAACCGACACAGGUGGGGUGGUAGAGAAUACCGAGGGGCGCGAGGUAACUCUCUCUAAGGAACUCGGCAAAAUGGCCCCGUAACUUCGGGAGAAGGGGUGCCACCGCGAGGUGGUCGCAGUGAAGAGGCCCAGGCGACUGUUUACCAAAAACACAGGUCUCCGCUAAGUCGCAAGACGAUGUAUGGGGGCUGACGCCUGCCCAGUGCCGGAAGGUUAAGGAAGCUGGUCAGCGCAAGCGAAGCUGGCGACUGAAGCCCCGGUGAACGGCGGCCGUAACAAUAACGGUCCUAAGGUAGCGAAAUUCCUUGUCGGGUAAGUUCCGACCCGCACGAAAGGCGUAACGAUCUGGGCGCUGUCUCGGAGAGAGGCUCGGCGAAAUAGAAUUGUCUGUGAAGAUGCGGACUACGUGCACCCGGACAGAAAGACCCUAUGAAGCUUUACUGUAGCUUGGUAUUGUGCUCGGGCUCGGAAUGCGCAGGAUAGGUGGGAGGCUUUGAUCCAUUGCUUGCGGGUGAUGGUGAGCCACUGGUGAGAUACCACUCUUUCCGAGCUAGAGUUCUAACAGCAACCCGUUAUCCGGGUGCUGGACAGUAUCAGGUGGGCAGUUUGACUGGGGCGGUCGCCUCCUAAAAGGUAACGGAGGCGCGCAAAGGUCUGCUCAGGCUGGUUGGAAAUCAGCCGACGAGUGUAAAAGCAGAAGCAGGCUUGACUGUGAGACCUACAAGUCGAACAGGGAGGAAACUCGGCUUUAGUGAUCCGACGGUUCUGCGUGGAAGGGCCGUCGCUCAACGGAUAAAAGUUACUCUAGGAUAACAGGCUGAUCUCCCCCAAGAGUUCACAUCGACGGGGAGGUUUGGCACCUCGAUGUCGGCUCAUCGCAACCUGGGGCUGAAGUCGGUCCCAAGGGUUGGGCUGUUCGCCCAUUAAAGCGGUACGCGAGCUGGGUUCAGAACGUCGUGAGACAGUUCGGUCCAUAUCCGGUGCACGCGCAGGAAUAUUGAGAGGAUUUCUCCCUAGUACGAGAGGACCGGGAGGAACGCACCUCUGGUGUGCCAGUUAUCGUGCCAACGGUAAACGCUGGGUAGCCAUGUGCGGAGUGGAUAACCGCUGAAAGCAUCUAAGUGGGAAGCCCACCUCAAGAUGAGUAUUCCCAUGGCAUAAGCCAGUAAGGUCACGGGAAGAACACCCGUUGAUAGGCUCUACGUGGAAGCGCAGUAAUGUGUGAAGCGGAGGAGUACUAAUAGACCGAGGGCUUGAC
rnacentral:rRNA from 1 species